rnacentral:rRNA from 1 species
GACGAACGCUGGCGGCGUGCCUAAUACAUGCAAGUAGAACGCUGAAGAGAGGAGCUUGCUCUUCUUGGAUGAGUUGCGAACGGGUGAGUAACGCGUAGGUAACCUGCCUUGUAGCGGGGGAUAACUAUUGGAAACGAUAGCUAAUACCGCAUAACAAUGGAUGACACAUGUCAUUUAUUUGAAAGGGGCAAUUGCUCCACUACAAGAUGGACCUGCGUUGUACUAGCUAGUAGGUGAGGUAAUGGCUCACCUAGGCGACGAUACAUAGCCGACCUGAGAGGGUGAUCGGCCACACUGGGACUGAGACACGGCCCAGACUCCUACGGGAGGCAGCAGUAGGGAAUCUUCGGCAAUGGGGGCAACCCUGACCGAGCAACGCCGCGUGAGUGAAGAAGGUUUUCGGAUCGUAAAGCUCUGUUGUAAGUCAAGAACGGGUGUGAGAGUGGAAAGUUCACACUGUGACGGUAGCUUACCAGAAAGGGACGGCUAACUACGUG